AGGAUGAACGCUGGCGGCGUGCCUAACACAUGCAAGUCGAACGUCCUGUCUCGCAAGAGGCAGGGAGUGGCGGACGGGUGAGUACCACGUGGGUCAUCUACCGUGAGGUGAGGAAUACCGGCGAGAAAUCGCCGACAAAACCGCAUAGGCUCGAUGCAAGUCGAGCAAAGCUCGCUCGCAAGAGGGAGCGCCACACGAGGAGCCUGCGCCCGAUUAGCUGGCUGGUGGAGUAAUGGUUCACCAGGGCGACGAUCGGUAGCUGGUCUGAGAGGACGAUCAGCCACACUGGGAUUGAGAACGGCCCAGACUCCUACGGGGGCAGCAGUGAGGAAUUUUCGUCAAUGGGGGCAACCCUGAACGAGCAACGCCGCGUGCAGGAAGAAGGUUUUCGGAUCGUAAACUGCUUUUCGUCGGGGAAGAGGAACGGACGGUACCCGAGGAAGAAGCCCCGGCUAACUACGCGCCAGCAGCCGCGGU
rnacentral:rRNA from 1 species